UACAGAGGGUGCAAGCGUUGUUCGGAAUUAUUGGGCGUAAAGCGCGUGUAGGCGGCUCCGCAAGUUGGGUGUGAAAGCCCUCGGCUUAACCGAGGAAGUGCGCCCAAAACUACGAAGCUUGAGUAUCGGAGAGGAUGGUGGAAUUCCCGGUGUAGAGGUGAAAUUCGUAGAUAUCGGGAGGAACACCAGUGGCGAAGGCGACCAUCUGGACGAUCACUGACGCUGAGACGCGAAAGCGUGGGUAGCAAACAGG
rnacentral:rRNA from 1 species